GCCACAGGUUGGAGAGAUGCGAGUCCUCCGUGGCCGCCGGCAGUAAAGCCCCUGCAAUUUGGCAUACUUUUGUCUUGGUGUUGACUUUCUAUGCUCUGGCCAGUACAAAAUUUUGGAGGUCCCACCAAGAUUUAUCUUCGUCCAUCACCCCGAAAAAGCCAUCUCAGAGUCUCUCCCAGGUGGCCACUCCCACCCGGGAACCUCUAGGGGAGGCACCCCUUGAGAUGUUCCAGGGCCCCAGAGUUCCGGCCCUGUGGAGGAUGAGCGACUACCCGGUCGACACUCACCCGAAAUUCCUCAGGGUCCUGGGAACCUCCGGAGGUAAGUCAGGUCUGGAAAUCAGGGGACUGGUCUGUCAGAGGGGCCUGAGUCCAGGGACCGGACGCAGUCAUUGCAACCCUGACAAGGCAAGCCUACCGUGAGAUGUCACUGGAGGCUCGGGUUGCCUCAAUGGAGGCUCAGGUUGCCUCACCAGAAGCUCAGGUUGCCUCAAUGGAGACUCAGGUAAUUUAGUUUUCAGUUGUUUUCCAUAACCUUGGUGUUAGUGAGAGAGUGAGUGUGUAUAUAUGUAGUCCCAAGGCUGGAAGGCUACAGGGCUUAUAUGGGCCUUCACCCACAGUUCCACGGUGACAUCAUAAGGCAUAACAGUGAUUUAUCUCAGGACUGAAAAUUCUGAGGUGACCAGGCCUGGGGUUUAUACGUGUACACCUUAGUCAAGAUGGUCUGAAACAUCCCUCCAGGGACGUGGCCGGACCCGCAUGAAGAUUUUAAAGGCUACAGUUUUAAACCCAGCCAUGCUGCUACCUGAUAGCCAGCCAGAGAAUCCCAUACAUGAUUGCCAGCAAAUAAUGGACGUCAUCCACACCGCUUGACUGGACUUCACUGAUAUUCCCCUACAGAAUCCGGAGGAGGUACUGUAUACUGAUGGCAGCAGCUUCAUGGUCGAUGGAGUCAGAUUGGCUACUGUUUUACAACCCUGAGUCACUGAGCCUCCACCUCGAAGGGCCAAAGGCGGGAAAAGUUUCUGCUUCCCAAACAAAGUUCCGAGGAGCCAGAGACUGGAAACCUGAGACAAAGUCCAGAGACGAGAAACCUGAGACAAAGUCCAUAAGAGCCAGAGGCAGGAAAAGCGGAGACAAAGCCUCUAGCUGGCCAGAGGCGGGAGAAUUCCUACGUUUGAAACAAAGCCCCCGCCCACCCGGGGAAGUCCCUCUAACACAGUCGCUCACAAAGGAGAAAUCCGAGGAUAUGGAGCUGUGUCUGAUGGGCUUGUCCUAUUAUUACUAGGAUUUGAUGCUGCACACCAGAAUUGAAAAUGUGAUCAACCAGAUCUAGGAAUGUUGACUUCUCCACCCAUCCUCCAUCCAGGAAAGAUAACUGAAAACAAAGAAGCAAUUCAAUUACAAAAAGCAAAUGAAGAUAUCAGUUUCUAGCUUUCACCUAAUAAUUGAGAUGAUUGGGUUCAUAGUAAUGUCCCUACUAAAUAGAUGUAAUGGAUUUAAUUUUAAACUGAAGGAUUUUUCAUAAAUCACAAGUGUAAGAGGAAAAAUUUCAAUGCAAUAAAAUAUAAUAGGCUAUAAAUUUCAAUAUAAAUUUAUAAAUCUUAUAUGAAGAGUGAUUCUCUUUUAUUAUCAGUCACUGAAUCUUGUUUAAAUCUAUUAUUUUAGGCCAAGUUUUGAAAUUCAUAGAACUUCUCAUUGCAAAUUCUUUCUAUU
ensembl:lncRNA